AUGGAGGGAGUAACCAGCUAGGUGGCCGCCUCACGCGCACAUGGGUGGAGGGAGUAACCAGCUAGGUGGCCGCCUCACGCACGCACACGUACGCACGAGCACGAAAGCGAUGUGGACAUGUGACAAUGUAAAUUCACCCUACUACUGUGGAUGGGAUGCAUUUGGAGCUGAAGCUGAUGAACCUUUCACCACAAGUGCACGCUUGCUCAUGGGCAUUCGAGCUGAUGUAUGGCUCUGUGCUGACCAUGACACUGCAUUCACUGCCGUUAGCACUUGAUCGGCCUGCUCUUAGGAUGGUGCUGAUCGGCCUUUCAUGAUGGUAGUGCCGACACCACCGAUGAUGCUAAGACGGUUGUGUGGUUAGUGAGACUGUAUACGGUGCAGGAGUCGAACUUGUAAUAUGAAUGAUGUAUCCUCUAGUGCAUACUAUACCUAUCUAAAAAAUGAUUUACGUUUUGGUGUAACCAAUGGAUUGUCG
rnacentral:lncRNA from 1 species